GCCAGUUUCAAUUAACACGUCGCGCGCCGUUUUUAUUCUGCUAAUUAGCACAGUGGCACAGGCAUGCAAACUUCCAGGUUAAUAUUUCGCCAUAAACUGACAUUUGGAGAAGAAUUAUGAGGACAUGUUCAACAACAUCCAAGCUGAAGAAGUAGAGGACCUUUUAUUGAUUUGGAGACCAAGGCAGAGCAGGAGCGCAGCACUAAAAGAGCCUGGGGAAAGGCCUGCCUUAUUGCGUGGUGGAAGCUUACAUGAAACAGGAAGACAUGGCAGUGUUACAUGAAUGAUUAUAUAAUGACAAUACAGAAAAAAAGUUUGAGGGUUAAUGUGUUUCGUGUGUUCAACUGACUACUCAAGUCAACAUCUAUACUGUAAUGAAGCUUCAGAAUUUAGCCUUUCUAAAGAAUAUUUAGGAUCUUAAGUGGAUGGACUUGUAAACCCAUUUCCAGUAACAUUUUGAUGUAUUCAUUAUAUAUAGCUGUGUAUGUGUUCUAGAAACAUAUUAUUUCUACCAGCCAAUGAAAGAGAGCCAUGUCUGUGUGAAAAUCUAAGCUAACUGAAAUGUGUGAGCAACUCAAUAAUUUACUAGUUCAUGAAACAUGCCAUGAAAAGAAAACAAAUCUAGAAAGGGAGUCAGAUAUCAAAAUAGCAAUGAAAGAACAACAAUAUCUAAAACUUGCAGAAUCCACUUGAUUUAGUCUGUUUGUGAGAGAAAAUGUUAAAGUGCAAUAUCAACUAAAUUUGCUGGAAUUAUCCCAAACGGCAAUUAUGAAGCCUUGCUGGGAUUCAUAUUACAGAUAAAGUUUGCUGGACAGAAAUCAUGUCUAAAUAAUGAAGAUACAGAAGUGGCUUUGAUAUAUGAGAAAAAUAUACUUGAAAAAUGGAAAAGCUUUAUUUAAGAAAUAAUUUAAUAAGCAAAUACCAACUUGUGAAUUUGGUUUUCAUAAAAUAAUGAGGUUUUAUCUAUUUUUAUGCAUACAAGGAAUGUAUACCACAUUAUUAAUAUUAUCACACGCUCAAUAAUUUUUUAUGCCUCCGGGCAUAUAGUAAUUGAACUGUCCGUCUGUCUGUUUGUAUAAGGAUAACCUAAAACAGCAAGUUUUUUUUCUUGAGUUCUACCUGCACCAAUGGCUUCAUAAUUCACACAUUCACUAAUCAGUUCAAAGAAUACAAUCUCCAGGGGCAAGUUAAAUAACUAUGGCUUCCAUUUUUACCAAGUUAUUGCCCUUUUGAGCACUUUGAAAAUGAAAAGAUUAACCAAAACCGUCAAAUUGGAUAUAUCUUAAGUUCUGUCUAUACUAAUGGCUUCAUAAUUUUCACAUGUACUUCUCGGGACAAAGUGCAUUGAUAUUGCUAAGUAAUAUUACUGUGCCAUCCAUUUUUUCACAGUUAUUUCCCUUUUUAUCACUUUGAAUAUAGGGCAAUGUAUGGUUAACCUUUUCAGGCAAGUUGGAUAUAUCUUAAAUUUCUCCUUAAUACUUCUUUUAUUUACAUUGUGAUACAUUGAGGGACUUUGAAAUGACCUGGCACAAAUUUGUACUACAUCAAGAGGAUGUGUCACAUUCAUGAACCAUGUCCCUUUUCAAAGGUCAAGUUCACACUUUUAUUUUGAAGGUUCACACUAUCACAACUAGAGAUAGGUACACACAUUCUUGUCCGGAAUAUACUUUGUAACUUUGUCGUGCAAUGAAGGAUUUUAAAAUAACUUAGCACAAAUGUCAACCACAUCUAGAUGAUGUGUUGUGUGUAAGACCCAUGUUCCUACCUCCAAGGUGAAGGUCACUAUAAUAGUUUGAAGGUACUUAAGGUCAUAAGAAGAGUUUGAAGGUACGCAUUAGUUUUCAAACUGUAAAGUUGUCAUGCAUUAGAGGAUUUUAAAAUAACUUUGCAUAAAUGUCUAUCACAUAAAGGUGAUGUGUGCAUCCAAGACCCUUGUCCCAAGGUGUUAAGUUUGCUAUAAAAAGUACUUCAUUUCACAAGAACAAUGUUAAGCAAUUAGUUAUUUUCAUGGGGGCGUCCGUGGUCGAGUGGUUAAGGUCGUUGACUUCAAACCACUUGCCCCUGACCGCUGUGGGUUUGAAUCCCAACAGGGACAUUGGAUUCUUUCAUGUGAGGAAGCUAAUCCAGCUAGCUUAGCGUAAGUUACGGAAGGUCGGUGGUUCAGUGCAUUAUUUCAGGCACAAACGGGCUCCUCCACCAGUAAAGUUGAAACGUAAUCAUAUUACCUAUACUGUGUCAGUGUGACGUAAAACCCAAUCAAACAAACAAAGUUAUUUUCAUUCUGUUUUCUUUUCAUAAUACCUGCAUGCUUAAGAACCCUUUUUUGUGGGAUAUGUCACUUGCGUGACAGCUCUUGUUUAUACAGCAUUACAGUAUAUUUUUUCCAAUGUCUCA